rnacentral:rRNA from 1 species
CCUACGGGCGGCAGCAGUGAGGAAUAGUGGUCAAUGGACGAGAGUCUGAACCAGCCAAGUAGCGUGAAGGAUGACGGCCCUAUGGGUUGUAAACUUUGUUUAUAGGGGAAUAAAACAGGGUAUGCAUACCCUCGUGUAUGUACCAUAUGAAUAAGGAAAGGAUAACUCCGUGCCAGCAGCCGCGGUAAUACGGAGGAUACGAGCCUUACCCGGAUUGAUUGGGUUUAAAGGGAGCGUAGGUGGUUUGUUAAGUCAGUUGUGUAAGUUUGCGGCUCAACCUUAAAAUUGCAGUUGAAACUGGCAUUCUUGAGUACAGUAGAGGUUGGCGGCAUUCGUGGUGUAGCGGU